UUUCCUUUAAUGCCAUUAAGGACAGAGUUAUACUCCCAUUAACUGAGUGUGAUGAGAAAUCAGUAGGCAAAGGAUUCCCUCCACAUUGGCAGGAGGCAGACACUGAAUACACCAGCAAAGAUAUCAAAGAUAGGGCAAAGAAGAACAUAAUUUUUGCUCGAAUUUUUGGAGCAUCUAUUAAUGUUGGACUGUCAGUAUGGGUGAGGGUCUAUAAAUAGGAUUGGAUGAAUGGGUGGAGCAUCUAUCUAGUCCAUAGAUUUAAUACACAGACAGAAUUAAUCUGUAUUAUAUCUAUGAUCUAGUCUCGCUAGCAUGGAUAUUACUCUAUUAUCUAUGUCGCUAGCCAGACCAUUUCCCAGCCACCCAAAUGACUGUAGGCGGGAAGGGCGAGACUAGCAAUUUGCAAGACACAGCAAAGAGAGUCACGAAGUUUAAAAUCCAGCCAGCUCAGCAUCCAUUAGAUCAGAGAUAGCUAGUACUGAUUACUAUUUAUCAGAUGCUCAUCUAAUAAUCUCGUGCUGGCUUAAUUAAAGAAAUGCUUUAUCAACGCAAGGAACAAUAUUUUUGUAACAGCAAAACUAUGUGAUCUUGAUCAUGUCUGUCUCAUGGUCAGAGAAAGGAUGCCAUUUAGCCAUUGGUAUAUAUAUUCACAAAGAAUACGUACAGAUAUGGGAUGCAGCUAACAUACAAAUGCAUACUCGGCAUACACUAACUGGACAUUCUGGAAAGUGGAAAAAUAUUUUUACGUGAGAAGGAUUGGAAACUGGAUCACAUGCGCCACUUUUCACUGUUGGAUCUGUGUUUCCUGCGAACAUAUGGCACCCUGUACAACUCUCGUUUUUGUGGGACUGUAACUCUUUGUCCAAGGUAUACCAGACUCUAUACAAAGACUCAUUAAGAUUGAUUUUUGAGGUCAGUAUGGUGCAUUCAUAUCUGCUGCUCGUGACAUUGAUGUAGAGCAAAGGGAAGAGAGAAUGAAGGAGCUGAUCAAGAACCUACCAGAGCUACACUAUUAUACUCUUGGCUAUCUGAUCAAGCAUCUCAACAGGAUAGAGGCUCACAGCACAGUUAAUAAAAUGGCUUUGCGUAAUCUGUGCUUAGUGUUUGGGCCUACUAUUGUGAGGAAGGCAAUCAGUGAGGAGAACAAUACACUUGUAGCUGAUAUGAAUUAUACGUACACUGUGGUGGAGUUCUUAAUGAAAAAGGUUGAUGAGUUGUUUACUCCUAUACCAACUGAUUUCAUUGAUGGCCAAUCAGUCACUUUAAGAGGAGGAGAUGGUGUGUAUUCUCAGUCUCAGGCAGACAAUAGGAAUAAUAUACUACUAAAGAGAGGUAGCACUUCCAGUUCUUACAUCAGCAUUUAUAGAUCUCUUGCUUAAUAAUAGAUCUAAUUAAAGAAAUACUAUGUCAAGGGACAAUAUUUUUGUAACAGCUAUGUGAUCUUGAUGAUGUUUAAAAUGCCAUCACGCCUGUCUUGUUGUCAAAGAAAGGAUACUAUUAAUUCCAGUUAACAUGAAGCAAGAUUCUUUAUACUAACCGGACACUCUGGAAAAGUUGGAUUCUCCUACCUCUCGUGUUCUUUGUCUUCUUGUGUUAACACAAGCUUAUAGUAUCAUACAGUUUUGGGUCACUGACGAAUUGUGUGUCAAGAUCCUAUCAAAUCCACUUGCUAUUUAUUUUCGGCAAAAGAUGUGGGAACAGAACAAUCCUAACAACAUGAUGGAGAAUGCAAUUAAGACAAAAUGCUAAGAAAAUUCAAAGCAUGUCCUAUUUGAACAAGGUGGUUAACUACUCAUAAUCAAUAAACAGUUUGUUCCAUGGACAUUAACUUAUUACUUAGAGAAAAGGAUGUGUUGAGAUUAUGCAGUAAUGCAAUGUGUCACCAUUUUGUUGAUGCACAAGCUUAGAAGAUACACUGAGGUCAUCAAUGAGUCUUGCAUUCAAGUGAAGGCAAUUAUACAUUUUCCCAUUUACAUUUCUUUCCAUGU